rnacentral:lncRNA from 1 species
AUGAGGGGGCUGGCUGUGGGAACAAGGAGGGCGAGGACCCCGUCGGGCUGGUGCUGUGGCCGCUGCUUGGCCUUCCUCGCCUCCAGGAGGCCGGGUCGCUACCAGUGGGCAGCCAAGGACACAGCCCAGUCGUCCAGCACUCUCCACUGCAGCUCCGGAUCUGGGGCUAAUGAGUCAGUUUGCCCAGAGACAUUGGAUCAAUCUGAACAUGCACGUCUGUCUCAAGAGGCAGCACUCAAAGAUGGGAGGCGCACCUGGUGGCCGUGCCAGGCCCCCAAGCCUCCCAGCAUCCUCCCCAGCUCACUGCCCACUCGCUGGGCCCCAGGGGCUGUCUGGCUGUGCCCUGAGGACAACUGGACCCAGUUCCCUCACUGGCAUUUCAGAGGCCCUGGCCACCAUGGCGUGGGGCAAGACUGGUUUACGAAAGAAGUUUCACUUUUCCUUGAAAAUUACAACCACUCCGGCCCCCUUGCAGGCCCCAUGCCCCUGCCACCCUGCUCCUUGGGGUCCUCCAUACCAGUCUGUGGCCAGUGGGCACAGCCCCAUGGUACUGGGCAUGGAUGCAGACAAAACCAUCCGAGUAGCUGCAGGGCAGGAACCAGGGGCCGCAGGUCGACAGGCUGCACCUCCAGGACCAAGGUGGCUGUGGCUGUGUUUCUGGGCUCUGUGGUCUCCUCCUGUGUGUCCUGCAACAGCCCGCCCUGCAGUCAGGCCUGCGCUGGGGCCGAGGCCGUCUGUGGGCCGUGGCGGGAGUGCCUGCUCACCCGGCCAGCAGUCGGAAGGUCAUGUUUGGCCACCUCUCCAAGUCCAGUGAUUGGUCCAGCCGAAGUGCUGGGCGGUUCGCACCACCAAGGAGAAGAAGCUGCUGGCACCCUGGGGAGGCAGGGACUCAGCCGAGGGCGCAAGGGAGGGUGCCGGAGCAAGGAGCUGGGAGCACUGACCAGGGUGACCUCUUGGAGGUGUAGAAAAGGACAUCGUCUUUGUCCUGGUCCUGGGCCUCCAAUUCUGUCUCUGAGAUGA